rnacentral:lncRNA from 1 species
AUCCAGACAAGAACCACGCGCCUGGGGCCACCGAAGCUUUCAAAGCCAUUGGCACAGCAUAUGCCGUCCUCAGCAACCCGGAGAAAAGGAAACAGUACGACCAGUUUGGUGAUGACAAGAACCAGGCUGCCCGGCACGGCCAUAGCCACGGGGACUUCCACCGAGGCUUUGAAGCCGACAUCUCCCCAGAAGACCUCUUUAACAUGUUCUUUGGUGGUGGCUUUCCUUCCAGUAACGUCCAUGUCUACAGCAAUGGCCGAAUGCGAUACACCUACCAGCAGAGACAGGACCGCAGAGACAACCAGGGUGAUGUGAGUUACCAGGGGCUGAGCUGCACACCAGGCCCCCCAGGGGAUGGGCCCAGAGGAAGAGGGAGUCUUGAUCCACUCAAUGCCCUCAGCAUUCUUGAGCCAAGGAGCCGUCUCUGCCCCUUCCCAGUUCCAUUCCACCUUGGCACACCAGAGGGAGCCACACUCCAUCCAUGUUGAUGCUGCUUUGGCUUCUGUGGGUAUAAAACAAAACCUCGCUUUCAGGC